UAGCCAAACCUUCUCAUAAGCAAAUCAUUUUCUUUGGUGACCACAGGAAAAUAUGUAAUGCAAUUUGCGUUAAAUAGCAGAAAAUACAGCCACUGUAAUAGCAUUUCCACUGUCCGAUAUUGCAAAGUCAUUUAAUGGUGCACCAGUAAUUUGCUGAGCAUUUAGUACAAAACUGUAAAUUUAUCAAUUUGGAAAAAUAAUUUUGCAAAGAUUUUUGAGGAAAAAACCCUCCUCUAUGCUUAAAUAUAGAAAAUGUUAAUACCAAAGUCAACCCAAUGAUUUGUGUGUGUGUACUCAACGCUAGGUCCCACGGGUUAUCAAUGUGUACUCAAAUCUAUUAUUACCAUUGCUCACCAUGAGAAAAAAGUAAUUAUAUAAAAGAAAGUCUACCCUUAAGUGGGAGCAAAAGGUAAGUGCCUUACUCAGGAAAGAGGAAAAUGCUGAGAUUUCAGUUAGCUUGUUUUCCUUUGAAAGGAAGUUACAAAAACACCAUUACAUAAGC